GCCCACGGCCCGCGAGAGGGGAGGAGGAGAGCAAUAAGCAAGCACCACAUCGCCACCACCUUGAAUUACCGCACACGGCUCCGCUGCUUCGCGACUCCUCUCCGACUCUCCGCACAGGACUCCAACCGCCUCGCCGUUGCAUCGCCGCGGGCGUCAACCUAGGCUGCUGCCGGUACCGGUGCGUCCCCAGCCAUGGCUCGGCCGCCGCAGGAGGCGAUCGACACCUUCGUCAGCAUCACCGGCGCCGACGAGGUCACCGCAGUCCGCGUGCUCGAGGUGACGACGCCUGCCCGUCCCCUCCCUUCCCCGUCUCUACGUUUCUGCUCAUUGGUGUUAUGGUCGGGACAGUUUGGGGAUUCGUUGCUCGGGGUUUCGGGCUAGGUUUCGACUUCGGCUCCGCACGCCGUGGGUUCGUUAGAUGGCGGUGCGUGUGCUUGGCCGUGGCGGAUCGAUGUGAGAUGUACGACUUGAACCAGCCCAGGGUUUCGUGUGCGUAAUCGUAACCCCUUCCCUGUGGGUUUAGGGGUCGCACAAAUUGCGGAAUUUGAGUUUCUAAAGAGUGUAAUGCAUAUGAGGUUUUCUGGUUGUGAUGGGACUAAUCCGUGCACUUAGUUUUUAGUUUGCAUUUGUGCGGUGUGAAAUGCCGAGACUUCACUGGAUCGGGGCGGACGAACAGAGUAAAGCGGGUGCAUCAGAUCUCAUCAAAUGUUGUAACUGUGAAUUCCUUAAUUGUUUAGCCGGUGAACUAAGUUGUAAGUUCAUUUGUGUUAAAUUCUGUUGGAGGUUCAGUUUCUGGGAUGUUAGAUUGGGUGAUUGGGUCGAUUUGGUGAGGGAAAAACACUUGGUGCCUGAUUGGAAUGUUUGUUUAUGUGGGGUCAUGAAUGUUGUUGUCUACUGGCUGGUUGAAGGUUUGCAUUUGUCCUGUUUGAGUUUGUAAUAAUGCAGAGUAAAGAGCGCUGACUGAAACACUUCAAUAAUGUGUGCUAAAUCGUUGAACAUGUGACAUCAUUUGAGCACAUAAGCUCCAGUUUAUUUGUCUCUGAUCUAAUGGUGCAGUUUAAACUGUAAUCCACAGCAAGAAUUGAAUUAUUUCUGUCUCUGUGAUGAAGGUAGGCUCUGGUUUAUGCGUUUCACAUAUCUGUUUAUGUAGUAUCUCUAUAAUUUUUUGGAAAUUAUAAAACUGGGUAUUUUUUGUUAAACAUCGAAUAUUUUUCUAUCUAUCAGCUAUUCUCUAUUCACCCUUUCGCUACAUCAAACUUGGUACUUUUUAACCUAGUAAAAGACUCAAAAGUUAUCAUGAGUAAAUACUCUCUCUGACUGCAAAUAUAAUCUGUUUAGGGCAUUUCCAUUCUAUGCAAAGAAUGUUGUUUCAAAUGAAGAAAUAAUUAUCAUUCAGUGUGCUGCAUAUUAACCCCUAUUGGUUUUAAUUUCAUUAAAUAAUAAGUUGUUCUUAGUCAAAUAGUAUAAUGUGUAACUGAAGAAACGAAGUGCAGAUAUUACACAUAAUCAUUGUUAAUAUAAAUGUGACUGUCUUUUUGGACUAAAAUUAGCAACAAUGGAUGACCAGUUGUUUUUUUACUCAGGAACAUGGUCAUGAUCUAAAUGAAGCUGUGAAUGCUUAUUUUAAUGAAGGAGAUAGGAUCUUUGGGGAAGUUAUCCGUGUGGCUGGAUGGGUCGGAGGAGGCCGGUGUGGGCUAGCCGUGGUGGCCAGCACUCGGGGGCGACGACGACGACGAUGUGCGAUUAUACCGUAAGGGCAUAAUCGGGAUAAGCCUUCGCGGGCCCACUUGCCAGGUGCCCCAAAAGUAUCCGUGACCCCUUCUGGCGAGCGAUCAGACUUGAGCGACCCGUUUUUACGAGUACAGCUAGAAGCGGUGUGUUUUGCAGAGCGGCAAGCUAGAGCGACCCAUUUUGCCAAAUUUCUCUCCACCAUCGAUUCAUUCUUGAAUUGCAAUUGCGUAGGUGGCACUUGAAGAAGCCUCUAUCUACGAGUACGAGUACAGACUACAGACACCACACCCACACCCACACGGCCACACACAGACCACCGUGCGCUGGGGGAAGAGAGCAAAAUUGUCUCUCCAUCUCUCUUAUUUUCUUUUUUAGCUUUAUAAAAUAAUGAAACGACAUUACAACAUUUAUGUCAAGUUUCGUAAUGGUAUUCAAGCGAAGCCCGUUCGAUUAAUGGUAAAGUGUUGAAACCCAGUUUUAAUAAUGGCAUAAUUCAGAUUUGUAUUCAUUCAAGCAGUAAGAAAAUAUGGACAAUUAGCUUAACAACAUAGUAGAGGAAAUCUGAAAUUUAGCAUAGAAAUUUUAUUGGUUGUCAGCAAAAAUCUUCAUGCUCGUGUUGAUGCCCCGGCGGCGCGCCUCGGCCUCGAGCAACGGGCAACGGAUGAGGUUACUUCCGCGUCCACUUUUGAGAAACACUUCGAUCCGAGGGUGCAUGCGGCUGAUGAGCAUGAUCUCCCGCCGUAGCUUGUCAUCUGUCAUUCUCGCCAUCUCCUCCAAAUCCGUCCUAUUGGGCAUUACCACGCCGGGUAUUACUACGCCUACAUAUCUGCCCUCUUCAUCAAAUCUGCCUCCCUGUUGGCUGCCGUCGUCAAAAACAUCCACCCAUGGUACGGUUCUAUGUUUGCGUUUGCGGCCCCUCCCCAUCGCCAAUCACAAAUCCACGGUUAACAAGUCCACGAUCAGCUAGGGGCGGGAGAGAGAUGCGGCGAGGCCUGAGGUUGGAGGUGGCGGUUGCAGACCUGAAGUGGACUAGUAAAAAUUGGCAACUCUGCCUGGGGC
rnacentral:lncRNA from 1 species